AUUGAACGCUGGCGGCAGGCCUAACACAUGCAAGUCGAGCGAGCGGCGGCCGGGUGAGUACUGUCUGGGAAACUGCCUGAUGGAGGGGGAUAACUACUGGAAACGGUAGCUAAUACCGCAUACCAUCAGAUGUGCCCAGAUGGGAUUAGCUUGUAGGUGGGGUAACGGCUCACCUAGGCGACGCGCCCUAGCUGGUCUGAGAGGAUGACCAGCCACACCGGAACUGAGACACGGUCCAGACUCCGACGGGAGGCAGCAGGGGGGAAUAUGGCACAAUGGGCGCAAGACUGAUGCAGCCAUGCCGGGUGGGUGAAGAAGGCCUGCGGGUUGGGAAGCAAUUUCAGCGGGGAGGCGUUACCCGCAGAAGAAGCACCGGCUAACUCCGUGCCAGCAGCCGCGGUAAUA
rnacentral:rRNA from 1 species